UAUUAAAAAUUUUAUUCAUUUCCACUAUUAAAAACUGGUAUGGUUGAUAAAUAACUAAACAGUAAGACAUGGCAUGCCAUGUUUACUUCAUACUGACGUACUGAGACCUGUUUAUAACAAUAAGAAUUGAUGAAAUUUUUAACA
rfam:Gossypium hirsutum cultivar TM-1 chromosome 1, whole genome shotgun sequence